AUCCAGAUGACGAGUCCUAAAUAGGACGAAAUUUGUGUCAUCCUGGAU
rnacentral:hammerhead_ribozyme from 1 species